CGCAAUGGGCGAAAGCCUGACGCAGCAACGCCGCGUGCGGGAUGAAGGCCCUCGGGUGUAAACCGCUUUCAGUGGGGACGAACCAAGACGGUACCCACAGAAGAAGGUCCGGCCAACUACGUGCCAGCAGCCGCGGUAACACGUAGGGACCAAGCGUUGUCCGGAUUCAUUGGGCGUAAAGAGCUCGUAGGCGGUUCGAUAAGUCGGGUGUGAAACCUCCAGGCUCAACCUGGAGACGCCACCCGAUACCGUCGUGACUAGAGUCCAGUAGGGGAGCGUGGAAUUCCUGGUGUAGCGGUGAAAUGCGCAGAUAUCAGGAGGAACACCAGCGGCGAAGGCGGCGCUCUGGGCUGGAACUGACGCUGAGGAGCGAAAGCGUGGGGAGCGAACAGGAUUAGAUACCCUGGUAGUCCACGCCGUAAACGUUGGGUACUAGGUGUGGGGUCUUAUCAACGGAUUCCGUGCCGAAGCUAACGCAUUAAGUACCCCGCCUGGGGAGUACGGCCGCAAGGCUA
rnacentral:rRNA from 1 species